rnacentral:rRNA from 1 species
AUUGAACGCUGGCGGCAGGCCUAACACAUGCAAGUCGAGCGGAGGAAGGGAGCUUGCUCCUGGAUUCAGCGGCGGACGGGUGUGUAAUGCCUAGGAAUCUGCCUGGUAGUGGGGGAUAACGUCCGGAAACGGGCGCUAAUACCGCAUACGUCCUGAGGGAGAAAGUGGGGGAUCUUCGGACCUCACGCUAUCAGAUGAGCCUAGGUCGGAUUAGCUAGUUGGUGGGGUAAAGGCCUACCAAGGCGACGAUCCGUAACUGGUCUGAGAGGAUGAUCAGUCACACUGGAACUGAGACACGGUCCAGACUCCUACGGGAGGCAGCAGUGGGGAAUAUUGGACAAUGGGCGAAAGCCUGAUCCAGCCAUGCCGCGUGUGUGAAGAAGGUCUUCGGAUUGUAAAGCACUUUAAGUUGGGAGGAAGGGCAGUAAGUUAAUACCUUGCUGUUUUGACGUUACCAACAGAAUAAGCACCGGCUAACUUCGUG